GGAGAGGUGCCGGAGUGGCCGAACGGGCUCGAUUGGAAAUCGAGUGUACGGGCAAAACCUGUACCGAGGGUUCGAAUCCCUCCCUCUCCG
rnacentral:tRNA from 1 species